GUUCAGAGGCAAGCGGAAUUUCUGGUGUAGCGGUGGAAUGCGUAGAGAUCAGAAAGAACACCAAUGGCGAAGGCAGCUUGCUGGGGACUUAUUGACGCUGAGGCUCGAAAGUGUGGGUAGCAAACAGGAUUAGAUACCCUGGUAGUCCACACUGUAAACGAUGCAUACUGGGUGUCCGAAAUUCGUUUCGGGUACCGUAGCUAACGCGUUAAGUAUGCCGCCUGGGGAGUACGUACGCAAGUAUGAAACUC
rnacentral:rRNA from 1 species